UAAGAACUUAGGCCAGGAUUACACUCGCAAGUUUUACUUACGUAAGUAGAGAUAAAGCUAUUUGCUAGAAUGAGAUAACGAUAUCCAUAUCUCAUUCUGUAGUAUAGCUGUGUCCCUACUUACGUAAGUAAAACUUACGAGUGUACUCCUACUAAUCCUGGCCUAAGAACAUAGACAAAAUCUUUAAUGUCGAUGCUAUCAUUAAAGUCAUUGAACGCAAAAAAAAACAAAGUUUUCAUAUAAAACUAACGAUUUAUUUGCUUAGAAUAUUUUUAUUUAGUAGUUUUAAAAAUUAAAACUAAUCAUAUGCGCGAGCAACGUAUGCUUAAUGCGUCCUCGCACAGACUCGGUUAAAUUUAAACCGUUGUAGUAAUAAACCAGAAACAAUAAUUAUUUCAAGAGAGUAAAUCAACAGAUGGCUUGAGCGUGAGAUGAUAGUAUAACCCUGGACCGUCAUAUAUAAUAACUUUGAAAAAGCUCAAAGGGCAAGGAUCUGCCGUUCAUCCAGACCAACCCUGCCACCUACAUCAGCUGCUCUCUAUAAACAUGCACUUCGAGCAGCUUACCAAGAGGGCCAUAUAUGGGGAAACGCUCUGAAAGCAGAAGUUUCCAUACUAUGUACAUCUUUUUGGGGAUGGACUGAGGAAAAAGAGAGUUGGACUCCGGAAUGGUCGGCAGUUACAGCGAUUUGGUCUCAAUUAAGCCUCUUGGACCAUUGUGGCUGCAAAUCUGGCUGCGAAACUAUGCAUGGUGGGUGUCGUCGCGUCAGCUGGCCAUGCACAGCCCAGUGUAAAUCAUGCAAAUGUGGCUGUACAAAUCAAAAUUUUACAUCUACCGGUGAACCCGAAGAGGACAUUUAAGUUUUUUGUUUACAAAUGUAGUCACUUUAAAUAAAAAUAAUGCCCAAUUUUAGAUUUGUUAUAUUUUUUUGUAAUUCAGCAC